AAAAAAAUAUAUCAAACCGAUUCCACCAUAAAAAGCGAACAUUUGCUUCGUCACCUUCCAAUUUUCUCUCUUUCUCUUUCGAAUCCAAUUCCGGUUUUAAGCUGAAAGUGGACGAGAAUCAGCGUGAAAAGUAAGCUUCAAUUUUCGAAUAUUCCUCACAGCGUUCGUUCUUAUAGUGAUUUUCGUUUCGGUUCUCUGCGUGCAAAAAAUGUCGAGCGGUUCCGUUAGAAGAGUCUCGCGCCAAGAUAUACAAGUGGUGCAAAAUCUUAUAGAGCGAUGUCUUCAACUGUACAUGAAUCAGAAGGAGGUUGUGGAAACUCUAUUGGAUCAGGCAAAAAUAGAGCCUGGUUUUACAGAACUUGUUUGGCAGAAGCUAGAAGAAGAAAAUCGAGAUUUCUUCAGGGCUUAUUAUCUUAGAUUGAUGGUGAAGCAACAAAUAAAUGAAUUCAACAGGUUGCUUGAUCAACAGGUGCAGUUAAUGCGUCAGAUGCAAUCAAGUGGAGUUGCUUCACUGCCUACCUCUAAUGGAUCUCAUAUCUCAUCAUUGCACCAGAAUUCAGCUUGCUAUGGCCCAGAGCAUACAGGACCAGCUGUGAAGGCAGAAAAUAUCCACCACCCUAUUGGUUCCGGUUUGCCUAAUGCAUUUACUAAUGGUGUGCCUAAUGCAUUUACUAAUGGUGGAUCAUUGUUGCACCCAAAUAUGCAUGCUGCUGUUCAAAUGCCUGCUCAUUCUAGUAGGAUUGAUGCCCCACCAAAUAUGCUAUCUGCUCAGAGCUCAAACUUGGGUAUGAUUCAAGGAAUAAAUGGUGGGAUAAUCAAAUCAGAAACUGGAUAUUCUGGCAGUUCCUCUUACAUGUUUGGCUCUGAUGGAAAUGUCCUGGAAUUGCGUCCAACAAUUGGGGAUGCAUCUGUUGCAUCUUUCCCCAGUGUAGAGUCUAACUCACAACCCCUGAAUGAACAAAUUCUGGAUAUGGAAUCUUCUUCUUUUGGAUAUUUAGGCCAGAUUCCUCGAAAUUUCAGUCUCUCAGACCUGGCAGCAGACUUUUCUCAGAGUUCUGAUAUACUGGAGACUUACCCUCGAUCACCUUUCCUAGCAACAGAUUCAGAAAGCUUUCUCGAUUCUCGUGACAGAGAACAUCAAGACAAUAAAAGGUUGGAAUCUAUAUCAGAGGGCUUGAGUUGUGAAGACUUUGGGAGUGAAUAGUGAAUAAGCUAUAUCUACUGGUCUGCUAUUUGAGGUCUAACAAGAACCCAAGGAUAGAAGUGUCUGUACAUAGCAUCGUAGAAUUGGAGAGACUGGAUUUUAAAUUCCUUGAAGGUAUUAAUUGGUGUGUAGAAGCUCAUUGACGUUAUGUAUUGAUUUGUGCCAUGGGGAAAGCUAGGACGAGAAGUGGGUCUAGAAUGUAGAAACAUUAAUGAAAUGAAGACAAUUAAAUAAAUUGUUUUUUUGUGCUUACUCAUCCCGGUUUGUGGGAUUCCAGUCAUACAUCACGCUUUUAAGCUGUCAAUAUGGACAAGAAGCGGAGUGGGAACAUGGGGUCCUCUGUCUCUGAUAAAUAGUUGUUUUCCUAUUUCCAUAGCCCCCAAAAAAAAAAAAAAAAAAAAAAAAUGGUGGUAACAAUUUAUCAAUGAAUAUUUGUUUAUAGAAAUAGGUUGCCUUAUCUGAAUUUUAGGAAACUGAUACUGUCCCAAUGAUACAUGUUAAAAUUAACCAAGACUUCCAUUGGCAAAACCACUCUCUCUUCAUCUUCUCAGUUUCCACACCCUUCAUACUCAAAACAGUAACUCUUUCAUUCAAUUGCCACUUUAGAGCUAUAGCUGAAAUGGUUUCUAGUUUGUACAUAGAUUGGGACAAUCGGAAUCUAACAUCGACUCGAGCUAGUUUGGACUGUUCUGAACAUGGCUCUAACCAUUCACAAAUUUGUAUUUUUAGCCCAAUUCAAUCCCAAUCAAUUUUCAUUGCAAAAGUUCAAUGCACUUGUGUUGCUCUGAUCUCAACUCGAUCUUUGCGC